AGAGUUUGAUCCUGGCUCAGGAUGAACGCCGGCGGUGUGCCUAAUACAUGCAAGUCGUACGCACUGGCCCAACUGAUUGAUGGUGCUUGCACCUGAUUGACGAUGGAUCACCAGUGAGUGGCGGACGGGUGAGUAACACGUAGGUAACCUGCCCCGGAGCGGGGGGAUAACAUUUGGAAACAGAUGCUAAUACCGCAUAACAACAAAAGCCACAUGGCUUUUGUUUGAAAGAUGGCCUUGGCUAUCACUCUGGGAUGGACCUGCGGUGCAUUAGCUAGUUGGUAAGGUAACGGCUUACCAAGGCGAUGAUGCAUAGCCGAGUUGAGAGACCGAUCGGCCACAAUGGAACUGAGACACGGUCCAUACUCCUACGGGAGGCAGCAGUAGGGAAUCUUCCACAAUGGGCGCAAGCCUGAUGGAGCAACACCGCGUGAGUGAAGAAGGGUUUCGGCUCGUAAAGCUCUGUUGUUGGAGAAGAACGUGCGUGAGAGUAACUGUUCACGCAGUGACGGUAUCCAACCAGAAAGUCACGGCUAACUACGUGCCAGCAGCCGCGGUAAUACGUAGGUGGCAAGCGUUAUCCGGAUUUAUUGGGCGUAAAGCGAGCGCAGGCGGUUGCUUAGGUCUGAUGUGAAAGCCUUCGGCUUAACCGAAGAAGUGCAUCGGAAACCGGGCGACUUGAGUGCAGAAGAGGACAGUGGAACUCCAUGUGUAGCGGUGGAGUGCGUAGAUAUAUGGAAGAACACCAGUGGCGAAGGCGGCUGUCUGGUCUGCAACUGACGCUGAGGCUCGAAAGCAUGGGUAGCGAACAGGAUUAGAUACCCUGGUAGUCCAUACCGUAAACGAUGAGU
rnacentral:rRNA from 1 species